UCCGGUUGAUCCUGCCGGACCCGACUGCUAUCAGAGUGGGACUAAGCCAUGCGAGUCAACAUAGCAAUAUGUGGCAUACGGCUCAGUAACACGUAGUCAACAUGCCCAGGGGACGUGGAUAACCUCGGGAAACUGAGGAUAAACCGCGAUAGGUCAUCACUUCUGGAAUGGGUAAUGACUUAAAUCUAUAUGGCCCCUGGAUUGGACUGCGGCCGAUCAGGCUGUUGGUGAGGUAAUGGCCCACCAAACCUGUAACCGGUACGGGCUCUGAGAGGAGGAGCCCGGAGAUGGGCACUGAGACAAGGGCCCAGGCCCUAUGGGGCGCAGCAGGCGCGAAACCUCUGCAAUAGGCGAAAGCUUGACAGGGUUACUCUGAGUGAUUUCCGUUAAGGAGAUCUUUUGGCACCUCUAAAAAUGGUGCAGAAUAAGGGGUGGGCAAGUCUGGUGUCAGCCGCCGCGGUAAUACCAGCACCCCGAGUGGUCGGGACGUUUAUUGGGCCUAAAGCAUCCGUAGCCGGUUCUACAAGUCUUCCGUUAAAUCCACCUGCUUAACAGAUGGGCUGCGGAAGAUACUAUAGAGCUAGGAGGCGGGAGAGGCAAGCGGUACUCGAUGGGUAGGGGUAAAAUCCGUUGAUCCAUUGAAGACCACCAGUGGCGAAGGCGGCUUGCCAGAACGCGCUCGACGGUGAGGGAUGAAAGCUGGGGGAGCAAACCGGAUUAGAUACCCGGGUAGUCCCAGCUGUAAACGAUGCAGACUCGGUGAUGAGUUGGCUUAUUGCUAACUCAGUGCCGCAGGGAAGCCGUUAAGUUUGCCGCCUGGGGAGUACGGUCGCAAGACUGAAACUUUAAAGGAAUUGGCGGGGGAGCACCACAAGGGGUGAAGCCUGCGGUUCAAUUGGAGUCAACGCCGGAAAUCUUACCGGGGGCGACAGCAGAGUGAAAGGUCAAGCUGAAGACUUUACCAGACAAGCUGAGAGGAAGUGCAUGGGCCGUCGCC
rnacentral:rRNA from 1 species